UACGUAGGGGGCAAGCGUUAUCCGGAAUUACUGGGUGUAAAGGGUGAGUAGGCGGCAUGGUAAGCCAGAUGUGAAAGCCUUGGGCUUAACCCGAGGAUUGCAUUUGGAGCUAUCAAGCUAGAGUACAGGAGAGGAAAGCGGAAUUCCUAGUGUAGCGGUGAAAUGCGUAGAUAUUAGGAAGAACACCAGUGGCGAAGGCGGCUUUCUGGACUGAAACUGACGCUGAGGCACGAAAGCGUGGGGAGCGAACAGG
rnacentral:rRNA from 1 species